rnacentral:rRNA from 1 species
UACGGAGGGGGCGAGCGUUAUUCGGAAUUAUUGGGCGUAAAGGGCGCGUAGGCGGCUUGAUGUGUCAAAGGUGAAAUCCCUCGGCUCAACUGAGGAACUGCCUUUGAAACUGUCUGGCUUGAGGCCGGGAGAGGGUAGCGGAAUUCCCAGUGUAGCGGUGAAAUGCGUAGAUACUGGGAGGAACACCGGUGGCGAAGGCGGCUACCUGGACCGGUUCCGACGCUGAUGCGCGAAAGCGUGGGUAGCAAACAGG